UACGUAGGGGGCUAGCGUUGUCCGGAAUCAUUGGGCGUAAAGCGCGUGUAGGCGGUCCGGUAAGUCCGCUGUGAAAGUCGGGGGCUCAACCCUCGGAUGCCGGUUGAUACUGUCGGGCUAGAGUGCGGAAGGGGCAAUCGGAAUUCUUGGUGUAGCGGUGAAAUGCGUAGAUAUCAAGAGGAACACCUGAGGUGAAGACGGGUUGCUGGGCCGACACUGACGCUGACAGCGCGAAAGCCAGGGGAGCAAACGGG
rnacentral:rRNA from 1 species